UUUUUGUGUUCACAAUAGUUAGAUUAAUAUUAAUUUGCUGGCAUCCAGCAAGCUGAUUAGUUUUCCUCUGAUAUGGCUCAACUUUGUAAUUACAGGAACUGUCUCCUCCUGGUUUGUGCCUGGGGUAAGAUUCUCAGAGGCGUCCUGACAUCACCGUGACCAUGAUUUCACCAGGCUGACACUCUGCAAGGUUGUCAUAAUCUGAAAUCUCUGCUCCUGGAAAGAGAAUUCUCUGUUUGAGAUGAAUAAUAGGUUGAAUAUGGUAUGUGACAGCUCUGUAGUCUCUGAAGAUAUAACAUGAACAAAUAUAUUCUGGAAAACUGGUGUUAGAAUGCUACUGAGGAUUUAGAAGGAUCUCGACUACCAGACAGGGAAUCAUUCAGAAGACUUUGAUCUAGGAUGACACUUCACUCCUACAAACCUGCCAGCAAGUCAUGGCAGUCUCCCCCUGAGUCAAGCUCCCGGCUUGCUCCAGUGCUGCCUGUCUCUUCAGCAUCCUGCGUAACCUCAUCAGUGUCCACCCGUGAGUCACGCCGUAAAGCACACACCAAGGUCGUGGCAGCAGGUCAGCUCUUUCUGCGCAAAUUGGGCCCUGUGCAAUUUCCUUCACCGAAGCCUUUGCCUUCAGCAGAACUGACCGGCACCGCGUCCUCGGAGGAAGGGAGCGGCAGGAGGACAGGAGGAGACCAUGCUGGUGUGGAGUCCAGGCUGCUGGUGAGUCUCCCCAUCACACAGCAGUAAUUAACAGAGCAGAGGAAAGCCAGCAUCCAGCCGCACAGGGCUGCUGCCGUGCUCAGGGUGGGUGAUGGGAUGCCAGGACACUGUCUCCAGCCUGAGGGAAGGAUGUUGUUAUCCCCUGCAGAGCAGGCUGGGAUCUAAGGGGGGUGGAGUCCCAGGAAGCCAGGAACAUUGCAUGAUAGUGCUGGACUUGGAGGACACAUCUUCUGGAGACCUGGAUGAAGUGGAAGCCUAUAGCACUUCCUUCUUCCCACGAGCAGAUGGGUGUUUGCCUGCUCAGUGCCUGGCUGUGUGUGUGCAGGUGAAGCCAUGCAUCUGGGUUUGAGAAGAC
rnacentral:lncRNA from 1 species